rnacentral:piRNA from 1 species
UUGGAUCAGUAAGGUAAGGGACUCCAAU